rnacentral:lncRNA from 1 species
ACCGUAGUUUCACUUUCAUUGUUGACAUUCUUUUUCUUUAAAUAACCAGUACACGUACAAUGCAUGCGUUGUCAAUUUCUAGCUAGGGGUUAAAUUGAAGUUCACAUGAAUGCGGAUUUAAAGAGGUCGACUCAUUCACUUGCAAGUGAAUAACUAAUUAUCAAUGUUUCUUAGCGUAAUUUGACAAAAUUGAACCUUUUUGGCUGCAAAAAGC